GUGUCAGCAGCCGCGGUAAGACGUAGGAUGCGAGCGUUGUCCGGAUUUAUUGGGCGUAAAGAGUUCGUAGGUGGUUUGGUAAGUCUGAUGUUAAAGAUCGGGGCUCAACCCCGGGAGUGCAUUGGAAACUACCAGACUGGAGUGUAGUAGAGGCAAGCGGAAUUCCCAGUGUAGCGGUGAAAUGCGUAGAUAUUGGGAAGAACACCAGUGGCGUAAGCGGCUUGCUGGGCUACAACUGACACUGAGGAACGAAAGCCAGGGUAGCGAAUGGGAUUAGAUACCCCAGUAGUCC
rnacentral:rRNA from 1 species